rnacentral:lncRNA from 1 species
UUUUCCUUUCCAAAAUUCCAGUGUUCUUCUUCCGUUUCCAAAUUUUCGAAUUUCCAGUCUCCUUCUUCAUUCAAUUUCGUAGUCUACUGCAUGGACUCCUUCUUCAAUCAUAGAAUUUUCCAACUUCACCUGGAAACCAUCGGCUUCCGAUCGAUGGCCACCGCUGCAGAUGGCCUUGAGACGUUCAAGAGUCUUAAAGAAGGUUUGGAUAAGUUUUUUUUGUAAAGAUAAAAGAAAUUAAAUAAGAUUUGGAAAAAAUUUAAAAGGGAUAGAAUCUCGAUCUAAUUCUCUAUCGAGAUUCACCAAAAAAAUCCAAAAUAAUUGAUAAAUUAGAAUUUUAGAAAAUUCCGAUAAUCUCACUCGAGAUUGACCAAGGUGAUUAAGAUCUCCUCAAGAUUGAUCGGGAAAACAAUCAAAGUGCUAUCAUAAACUAAUUUGAUAUAUAUCAUACGUUAUUAGAGGUCUAUCAAACAAAUAUAAAAAACAAUCAGAGGGCUCCCAAAUUUAAAACAAUACAUGUAUCAGAUAACUAUCACAAAGUAAUUAGAUAUAUCAGACAAUUAUCAGAAGACUAUCAAAGAGGGCUAUCCAAGUUAAAGACGAAGAAAAAUGAAUUAGCGCACAAUAAAUUUGAAAUGUGGGUAAUUUUGCCUUUUCCUUUUAAGUUCAUUGACGAUUUUGAAUUGGACUUUUAAAUUUGCUAUUUUUACAAUUUAAAAAUUAUAGUGAGAUAGACUUUUCACUUUAUUAUCAUAAUCUUUUCGCUAUUUUUUACUAUUUUUGCAAGCCCCUCUCAUUUUUUAUAUGUCCAUAAAUUGAUACACUAAUUUAUAUAAAAUAUAUUAUUUAUGUAAUUAAUAUUGUUAAUUAAAAAAUUUUAGACCAAUAAAAAAUUAAAUCAAUGAGGAAAUUACUAUUUAAAAGUUUUCACACAUCCAAAAUUGAAAAUCCAAAGUAUUUUCAUCCUCAUACGUGAAUUGAAUAAAAUAAUUAUGUCCAAAUUUGGUAUUAUUUGAACUAAAGUGGUAUGGAGCAAAAAAAGUAAGACAUGUCAACUAACGCUCAAAUUCAAUUAGUUGAGCCUAAGGACAAGUCCAAUGUACUAAACAAGCUCUAUCUCAUAGAACCCAAUAAAUAGAAAAGUUCUCAAAAUUUUAGACUGUAGAGAACGUUUAGAGAAAAUAAUUCUCCUGAUAUUGACUCAUUACAUCGUUGAAGACUAAAUGUCUUUGCAAUAUCAGCAUUCUUAUACGGACUCAAACUAACUAUCCGUGUGAUUCAAUUCUAAUUUGUCAAGCCUACACAUCAUAACUAAGAAUCAUAACGGAGAAACAGUCAGAUGAUCAAGUGUUAGAGAUCAAACUACCCAAACAUAAACGGACAUGAAACACACAAGUUUGAUUCCACGAAAUACACGUUUUUAAAAAAAGCUACGACGAUCCAAAGCUAUAGAGUAGUGUUACAGUAUACUCUCGUAAUCUACCCUUGACAAUGCUAUAUAAGGCAUAACAAGCGAGGCUAGGCCGUUGGAUAUCUUCAUGACACUUCAGAUAAAGAAAAAGAUGCUUCAAAGCCCUCAAUGUUGUAUGGCUGGCUACGUUGGGUAGAGUAGUGAAGCUGUGUUGGCCUACUGUUUUUUUCCUUUUUCUGCUCUCAAUUGUGUAGUGAUCAGAUGGGUAUCCAAUUUAGUUCGAGACUAAUUGAGGAAAGCAAAUAAUUCAAAUAGUAAUUUGAGAGCUAAUGGCCUCAAUGUAAAAUAAUCUAGGACUUGCUUGGGAGUGAAGAGACAUGAAUUAAUCUAGGACUUGAAAGUGAAGACACAUAAAUUGAUCAAUUAAUCACACGUGUUUUCAUCGUAACCGUUGGAUCAAUGCUUAACUAUUUUGAAAGUUCACUUGACUAAAGAAAAAAAAAAGUUAAACAUAACCUAAAUUCAUGUGGUUGAGCACAUGAGUCUCAUCCAAAAACCAACAAAUUCAAUGCUCAUAGAAGAUCUAGACAUAAUUCUCCUGAAAACCAGGAGAUCCCUAAUCGUGAACCCGACCACUCUGGAAGAUACUGAAGUUUCUUUGAAGAUAUAAAACUUCCUCUAAAACUCUCUCCAACUACAAGAUAAUUACGUUCAACUUUAAAAAAUCACGUGUUUCGCUUCUUAAAUCAAGGACAAAUCAACACAACCACAAUAUAAACACGAGUUCAACUCCAUGGAACAUGUUUAUUCAAAAAGCUAAUGGGAAUAGAUGCUUCAUAAAGCACCAAUUGCUCCUGUUGGAUUGAUUUUAUUAUUUGUAAUUGUAGUCUUGUUUCUUUCUAUAAUAAUCUAACCUUUGGCUACAUAUUUGUUUUCAUUUCUCAUUUCUUGCUUGAGAGAGAUGAAGUUAAAUGUAGCUAUAAAAUACUAAACUAAUGGUUGAUUAUGCACAGAAAGUGUAUGGAAAGAAUAAUCAAAGUUCACGAAUCAAAACGAUAAUCUACUGUAUUCUUAAUUCUUAGAAAAUAUCGAAGGAAGAUUAAGAUGAUGAAGAAGAUAUAUUAAUAUAUACAUACACCCCGAAUUACCCUAUUUUAAAAAUAAAUAAAUGAUAAAAACAAAGAUUAGUAUUCCAAUUCUUUUCAUGAUUCACACAAACCACAUAAACUUGCCUUUCUUUGCAACCCUCCUUCCUGAGUUCAACUUCGAUUUGGUCUCCUUUCACAAGUUGAUCAUUCACCAUUUCAUUUGAAGAAAACGAGCUCGGAAUGGACUCGAGGGCGGUUCCUUAUCGAUCUUUUUGUCGUUCACCAUAGGCGAGGCUCGGUGUUUGAGUACACAGACAUCUCCAUUGCAAACAUAGUGUUUAGAUUGUUGAUGAUGAUCAGGAUCAGAGAAGCAUUUGAAGAAGGUUGAAAGGAAAGUCAUUGUUGUGGGCUUUAACCUGCUUCAAUGAAGAAAUAGAAAAUUCUUUAGCAUGUGUGGGUGAGUUUAAAAGGCAAAUUCUUUUUUUGUGUAAAGGAAAAGAAUUUAAAAAUGGGAAGAAAAGGGUCAAAAUUUA